rnacentral:lncRNA from 1 species
CCUGUCUCUGGGGAGACAACAUGGGAUGCGGAUAAAGGGCACAGAGAAGAGCGGCAAUGGAAGAAUUUGAUGUGCUCAAAGAGUAACUGCAAAGUAAGUUCGGUGGGGACAGAUGUUAUUGAUUAUAUUGCACAUCUUGAGAAUCAGGAAACUGGGGUAUAAUAGUAAGGCAUACUGAUAAGAUGCCCUCAUAAUACAAGAGUGUCAGUGGUGUGAACAUUCCACUUUUCAUUUAGUCCUUGGGCCAUUUCAAGAUCAUCACUAUUUAAAGCCAAAGUAAUAUCCCAUAAAUGUUAAAUUUCAACCCUUGAAGCAAGGUUUUAACAUAAAAUAGCAGAGUAGUGAAGACCAUGAAUGCAGUCCU